AGUGGAUAUUGGCAGUUUGAUCUCUGGUUCCUCUGCCUUUUCUAAAUCCAGCUUGUACAUGUGGAAGUUCUCAAGCCUAUUUUAUUAAUGGAAAGUGCAGAUCGUCUGGUGUAAUUUACUGAAUACUGAAUGCAAAAAAGACAGGGUGGUUGUCAGGGUCCAGCAGGGCUGCGAGUGUGAGUUGCUCACUGUCCUGAGCACCAGAGGUCUGGGCUGCAGCCACUGCACUGCCCAGCUCCCACUGCAGAGGACAGACUGUACAUUGCCAGGGGGAAACAUCGAAACUCGAAAUUCGAAGUGUGGUUUCUCCUGAAUGUGUGUUGCUUUCGCAGCCUGAUAAAGUCAAAGAGUAAAACACUGAGUCGUGAGUCAGGGACCUUCUGUAUGAGAUGUUUUUGUUUUCACAUCAAGGGGAAUCAGUCUUCAACCCCUACUCUGUGAGACAUGAGGUCUAUUUGUCUGAAUUCCUCAAGUGACCACUGCCCAGUCCGCUCAGCUUGACUUUCCCUAAAGACUGUUUCUAGGAGAAAGUGGCCAGGGUUGCUCCCCUUCCUUACUGUCUGGAUGGCUCGGGCACUUCACACCCACAGGGAUCACUUCCCGCAUCUACACUUAAGCGGUCAACGCGGCUUUGGGGUUCAGAUGGUUGCUGUGUGCUAGAGAGUAUCCUCUUUCUCAGCAGAACUUUGUGAUAAAGACAGAAUUGGGAGCAGGUUCAGAUAAGAUGCAUUUCCCAUGGUUUUUAAUGAGGACAUUUGCCAGAAAGCAGUUAGUCACCAGGACUCUUCGAGACUCGGGGCAGGAACUCGGGCCCACGGUGUGUGCCCAAGUCGGCCAGGCCCCAGGAACGUGUGCCCAGGCUCUCCUCUCCCAGAGAAGCAGCGCUGCCCACUCAGCAGAGACGGGGCCUCCAUCUGAGGGUGGCAAACGUGCCUUGGCCUGUUAGAUGCGGUAGGGAAGCUAAAGUCACCAGCAAGCUUUUUACCCAGAGUGGAGGGUGGCAGUGACUGACGGCUGGGAGAAGGGCCAGAAGGGCUGGGAGAAGGGCUGGGGUGGGGAUGGAGGCAUCGGGCGCCCAGGGGAAGGGGCGCAUGGGCUCCCAGGAGGAGAGGGGGAAGAGGCUGGGAGGGACGAGCCCAGUUGGGCAGUGUCCACAGACCAGAGGCUUUAACCGAGGCCACGGGUCCAGGAUCCUAGCCUUUUGCAUCAGAGCCACUGGGCUUUCAAGUCUGUGAGGGCAGCCCUGGGCCACCCACAGCAGGCUUGAGCUGGGCUGAGCUGUGCUGAGCUAGCCAACCGGGUGAGCUGGGCUGAGCUGAGCCAGGUUGAGCUGGGCUGAGCUGGGUUGAACUGGGCUGAGCUGGGCUGAGCUGGGUUAAGCUGAGCUGAGUUGGGUUGAUCGGGGCUGAGCUGAGCUGGUUUGAGCUGGGUUGUGCUUGGCUGAAUUGGGUUAUCCAUGGUGGGCUGAGACAGGUCCAGCAGAAAUGUACUACCUGGAGUUGACUUGGGCAAGCUGAUGAUAUGCUUUGGGCCUGUUUAACCUCUGCUGAGUAUGGUGGGUCUAGCUGGACUGAGUUGACCCCACUGGACUGUCCUGGUCAACAGUGGGCUGACCUCAGUGAACUGGUUGAGCUGAGGACUGGGGGCCUGAGUGUGUAUCAGUCUCAUUGAUGACCCCAGACCCUGGGGCCAGGCCCCAAGUGGCUGAGCCGGGGGCAGUAAUGGUGGGCUGGCAGGGCUGAGUGUGCCGUCUGCUCCGCUGUCCCAGAAAGAAGGUGGAGCUGCCUGCACCCCCAACCAGCAGGACGCCUCUCACCCCCCUCUUCUCUUGUGUCCUCUCUCGGGUCCCCAGCAAGUGAAUCUCACCCGAAAGUCUUCCCUCUGGUGUCCUGUGAGAGCUCCCCAUCUGACAAGAACACUGUGGUCCUGGGCUGCCUGGCCCAGGACUUCGUGCCCAAUUCUGUCAGCUUCUCCUGGAAGUUCAAGAACAACAGCAUGGUCAGCAGUGAGAAAUUCUUGACCUUCCCCGGAGUCCUGAGGGACGGCUUGUGGUCGGCCUCCUCUCAGGUGGUCCUGCCCUCCCCGAGAGUCCCCCAGGGGUCAAAGGACUACCUGGAGUGCAACGUCCAGCAACCCAAGGAUGGAAAGAUCAUCAAGACUGUGGUGGUGUCCCCCAGAGUGUCAGCGUCAACCCCAACCCCGACUCCGACCACGUUAGCGCCUUCUACGACACCCAGGUCAGAGGGCUCCAACAAAGUCGUCAACACUCAGAGCAGCCCAGUGCCGUCCACCAGCCACAGCCAGCCAGAUGCCCAGACACUGGUGUGUCCGAAGGACCCCUGCAGAGAGAGUCAGAACCACACCCAGGCCCCUCGCGUCCGCCUGCUGCCCCCACCCCCGCGGGGCCUCUGGCUCCUGGACAAGGCCGAGUUCACCUGCUUGGCCACAGGGGAGGCCCCGCCGCACGCCCACUUCUCCUGGGAGGUGAACGGGCAGCCCCACAGCGGGGCCGUGGACGAGGGGCCCACCCAGGACCGCAACGGCUCCUGGAGCCAGAGCAGCCGCCUGGCCCUGCCCAGGUCCCUGUGGGCCUUGGGCUCCACCGUCACCUGCACGCUGAGCAGCCCCGGCCUGCGGUCGCCGGUGACCCUGAUGGCACAGAGAGAACGUGCCGCCUCAGUGCCCAGCAAUCUGACCCUCCGCACUCUGACUGCGCCUGGCCUCUUCUCCCCUGCCUGGCUCCUGUGCGAGGUAUCCGGCUUCUCACCCGUGGACGUCCUCCUCACAUGGCUGAAGGGCCAGCAAGAGAUGGAGCCUUCGCAGUUUGCAACGGCGCAGCCCACACCCCAGGACGGGCGUGCCUCAUUCCGCACCUGGAGCGCCCUGCGUGUCUCCAGCCUUCUGGACGACGCGGGGGCCACCUACACCUGUGUGGUCAGCCACGAGGCCUCCCGGACGCUCCUCAACGGCAGCUGCAGCCUGGACCCUGGUGGUCAGGCCACCUGGCCACCCUGGAGCCUGGACGAGAGCAGCAAUGAUGGUGUGGACGUGGAGGAUGCCAGCCCGCUCUGGCUCACCUUCCUGGCCCUCUUCCUCGUCACUGUGGUCUACGGCGGCUUCGUCACCUUCAUCAAGGUGAAGUAGCCCUGGAGAGAAGACACCAGGCUCCGCACAGACAGAACCUGGCCUCCACACCGCCUGCUGCUCCCAGAGGGCAGAGGAGCCCACGCUGGACCCCACCCUGCGGCCCCACCCUCUGUCCACCACAGAGCCCAGCCCCCAGCCCGAGGAGGACAUCAUGGUGCAGAGAGGGGGCCCCCGGCUGGCCCUGCAGCCCCAGAGCCGGUGGCCCUGGCUGCAGCCCCCUUGCCUCCCCACCCACCAUCCGCCACAUAAAGAGCUUUGAUCCUU